rnacentral:rRNA from 1 species
UACAACUUUCAGCAACGGAUCUCUUGGCUCUCGCAUCGAUGAAGAACGCAGCGAAUUGCGAUAAGUAAUGUGAAUUGCAGAUUUUCAGUGAAUCAUCGAAUCUUUGAACGCACC